GAAUAGAUACCCGGGUAGUCCUGGCAGUAAACGGUGGCACGGUUUGGUGUGGGAGGAUUCGACCCCUUCUGUGCCGUAGCUAACGCGUUAAACGUGCCGCCUGAGGAGUACGGUCGCAAGAUUAAAACUCAAAGAAAUUGACGGGGGCCCGCACAAGCGGUGGAGUAUGUGGCUUAAUUCGAUGCAACGCGAAGAACCUUACCUGGCCUUGACAUGCAUUGUGUCCACGGUGAAAGCCGUGUAGUUGGUAGCAAUAUCAACGCUUUGCACAGGUGCUGCAAGGCUGUCGUCAGCUCGUGUCGUGAGAUGUUGGGUUAAGUCCCGCAACGAGCGCAACCCCUAUGAUCUGUUGCCAUUCCGCAAGGAAGCACUCUGAUCAGACUGCCCUGUGAAACGGGGAGGAAGGUGGGGAUGACGUCAAGUCAGCAUGGCCCUUACGGCCAGGGCUGCACACGUACUACAAAUGCCCACUACAGAAUGAACCAAAGCCGCGAGGUAGAGGAAAAUCCGUAAAAAGUGGGCUCAGUUCGG
rnacentral:rRNA from 1 species